UUUAUUCCUUAUUUCUUCAUUUCUUUUCUUGAGAGAGAGAGAGAGAAAGAUAAGCAAAUCUAGUGAGAAAAAUUCCGAAAAAUACACAAAAAAAAAAUGAGAGAGAAGACAACCAAAUCUUCAUCAAUUCAUCUCUUUUUCAACAUUCAAUCUACCAAAAGGAGUAAGAAAGUCACUUCAAGCCUUGAAAUUCAAUCUCCAUCAUCAAGCUAGCAAGGUUCAAUUCUAGCUCUUUUAAAUUCAAUCGAACCAUGUAAUUUUGUUAAUUAUCAUCUCUACUACUUCUAAAUUAGUAUGUGAAGCGGGUAUUAUCUUGAAUCAUGUGAAAAUCCAUUGAAUUUAGAACCCAAAUUCCAAAUUCUCCUUUUGAAAAUCCACGAGUUUAGAGAUCAGACUCUGUAAGGAAUAGGUAAGGAUAUAAAAAUAAAUAUAAGAAUUAGUGGGGGCAUAAUGGUAAUAGUGGUAUUCUAAGUAGAUAUAUUGAUGAGUUAUAAUUCUAUUUGGAUAAUGAAAAUGAAUGUGAAGUUUCUCUUCUCUCUGUACGAUUUUCUCUCCCAAUUUCCGGUCUCUGUCUUCUUUUUCUCCAAAUUCUUUCUUAAUUCUUCUAAAAAUACUUAUUCUAGUUCUGUUCCUUACAAUUGGUAUCAAAGUCGUCCACUACCUCCCGGUUGCAAUCGUGCGGCGAGGGUGGUGACGUCGGUAUUGCAGUGUUCGCCCGGGGCUAGAAUCGUCUAGCGCAAAGUCAGCCCGCGUGGGCGCCGGGACUGCGGAGCGUGAUGGAAUAUUGUGAUCCUAAUUGCAAAGUAUGUGACUUGUGUCCCACAUCGAUGGUAUGGGACUUUGAUGUGGGAUAUUUAUAAAAUUUGGGCUCUCCAACCUUAAUAGCUAGCUUUUAAGGUGUGGCUCUCUCAUGGUUUGUAACAAACUCCUUUUUAAAAAAAUACCAGAGUUUAGUAACCAAACUCCCUUUUGAAAAUCCAACAAUUUAGAAACCAAACUCUUUCUUGAAAAAUACCCGAUUUUAGAAACCAAAUUCCUCUUUUGAAAAUUCAUUAGUUUAGAGACCAAACACCCUUCGAAAAGAGUUUAGAAACCAAACUCUCCUUUUAAAAAUACACAAGAGUUUAGAAAUCAAACUCACAUCCUUUUGGAAAACACGCACACGAGUUUAGAAAUCAAACUCACCCAAACUUAUUAUAAAUAAUAAAAAAAAAAUCUUCCCAGUCGAAUUGAACCCAACUAGGAUUAAAAUGGACUCACCCACCAUGCAUGACAUCAAACACACACCCACACCCCAUAGAAUGACACAAUAUACUAGGCACGACAUAUUUAGACACUAAGGCAACUCUUUCAAAACUUGAGAAAAGAUUAGGAAUGCGGUAACAUGUUUUCACAGAAGUCUAGGGUGCGGGUGCCUAACACAUUCUUCCGCUUAAACAAACUCUCGAACUCUGUGAAUUUCGGUUGCAGACCUGGAGUCACAUUUUGGGUCAUUUAUCUUUCAAAACUCAAAACUCGGAUAUGUUGGUACAUUCAUAUAAAUUUAUACCAACUGACGACUGUCACAUUGGCCCAAACAAAAAUCAAACUUUCUAAAAACCCCAUCAACAAAAGAACCGUUUUUCAAAGAUCUUAGCUAACCGCACCAAAUUAAAAUUAAAGGGAAAUGAGAGUGCGUUUGGAACAAUAAAUAAAGAGGAAUUCAAUUUCUCGGUGUCAUUUUUAAUUCUAAAACUAGUCAAUUUGACCAACAAAAAAGGGUCAAAUUUGAGUAUUUAAAUUGGGGUGGAGGUAGUAGAUAAUUUCUCUAUUUUCAAAAAUUCAAAAAUUAACAUUGAUCCAUCUAAUUUUAAUUAAUACACUGAUAAAUGUUGCAAAUUAGUUAAAAAAAUAUAUUAUUACUAAUUAAAAGAUUUAUUAUUUCGUAAUUAAUGAAUCAUAUAAAUUUGAGAUUGAAACUAUCUGAAAUUUACUUUUAAAAAUUAAAAAUCAUUAUAUAAUUUAGAAUAGAUGGAAUGUUUUAUAAUUUAUAUGGAACUCAGCAAAUAACACAAUUUCUCAUGACUUUGGAUGAUCCUUGGUAGAAUUAAUGGACAAUUAUUGAUGGUUGAGUUCCUUGCCUACUAUAAUCAAGCUUAUAACCUGUUGAUUCAAGAAGAAAGGCAAAGGGAAUGCUCAAAUGCAUCUCUACUUACUCGAUAUAUAGUAGUGCAGCAUUAACAAGACAUGUAAACUACAGAACUAUCAAGACACUCCAUCUUCCCACCAACUCAACAAACAGCUGAUAUUGUUACCAAAGCAUGAUCUAUUGUUCACACAUUUAAACAAGUUGGAAAUUCUUCAAUUUAUAUAUAUACAAAAAAGGCUAAUCAAAUCUACUAGAUGAGGUUAGCUUAGUAUGCUGUAAAUCUCUUUUCUCAGAUGUAAUCUUCAUUUACAUAACAAAACAAUGAGAAUUCAUUGCUUCUCUUGUCUUUCCUAUCUUUAGAUCUUCUGCAAGUCAGACUUCACACGGUGCUAUAGCCGUUAUGGCCUUGUUAAUUCUCCCUCAGUGAAGGCGCCGUCUUAUACUCUUAUGCUACGUUUUGAUUGAAGGAAUGAAAUGAAGAGUGGAAUGAUUCAUUACAUUCUACUCCUACAUUCAUUACUCCAAUCCAAACGUAGCAUUAUAGCCGAAGUAUGCCCUUAUUUCCGUGCAGGGUUUUGAGUUAAAGUUCUAUAUCCCCUCUCCUCAACCAACAAAAAAUUAAAAAAAAAAUAAUUAAAUUACAUGCAGAGUGAGCCAUGAAGUGAACCACAGCUAGAACUGGCUCCCUUGUGCCUUAGAGAGAGGUUGGCAAAGUGGGAUUGAAGAUCUCUAAGUGUGCCACUACUGGAACUGGCUUCCUUGUUCUUCGCCAAGCCGGAUUCUGAAUCUCUACUUUUGGAUCGACGGUGGUGUUUCGGGUGAUGCUUUUGUUGUUGCCUUUGGGGCUGCUGUUGUUGCCUCUGUAACUGAUACACAAUUUGAAGCCUUACAAGCUCCCUCUCUAACAUCUCCUGCUCCACUGUUACAAAUAUAUCAAAUUUCUGAGCUUUACAGUUAUGUUGUUCAAAAUCCCAAUUUUUCAAUCCUAAAUUAAAUCUCCACACGUGCUAAAAUAUAUGGAAAUCCUUAUCUUCUUCAUUGAUAUUUUCCACCGUAUCAAC
rnacentral:lncRNA from 1 species